rnacentral:rRNA from 1 species
GGAUUCCCCUAGUAACUGCGAGUGAAGCGGGAAAAGCUCAAAUUUAAAAUCUGGCGGUCUUUGGCUGUCCGAGUUGUAGUCUGGAGAAGUGCUUUCCGUGCUGGACCGUGUAUAAGUCUCUUGGAACAGAGCGUCAUAGAGGGUGAGAAUCCCGUCUUUGACACGGACUACCAGUGCUUUGUGAUGCGCUCUCAAAGAGUCGAGUUGUUUGGGAAUGCAGCUCAAAAUGGGUGGUAAAUUCCAUCUAAAGCUAAAUAUUGGCGAGAGACCGAUAGCGAACAAGUACCGUGAGGGAAAGAUGAAAAGCACUUUGGAAAGAGAGUUAAACAGUACGUGAAAUUGCUGAAAGGGAAACGCUUGAAGUCAGUCGCGUUGUUUGGAACUCAACCUCGCUUUUGCUUGGUGCACUUUCCAAACGACGGGCCAGCAUCGAUUUUGACCGUUGGAAAAGGGUCCGAGGAAUGUGGCACUUUCGGGUGUGUUAUAGCCUCUGGUCGCAUACAACGGUUGGGAUUGAGGACCGCAGCGCGCCGCAAGGCAGGGGUUUUACCCACUUUCGCGCUUAGGAUGCUGGCAUAAUGGCUUUAAGCGACCCGUCUUGAAACACGGACCAAGGAGUCUAACAUGCCUGCGAGUGUUUGGGUGGAAAACCCGAGCGCGUAAUGAAAGUGAAAG